rnacentral:tRNA from 1 species
GGGGUUGUGACUCAGUGAUAGAGAACUCACUUAGCAUGUGUGAGGCACUGGGUUCGAUUCUCAGCACUGCA